rnacentral:rRNA from 1 species
GUGCCAGCCGCCGCGGUAAUACGUAGGGUGCUAACGUUGUUCGGAAUCACUGGGCAUAAAGAGCGCGUAGGCGGUCUGAUAAGUCAGGUGUGAAAUCCCCCGGCUCAACCGGGGAACUGCACCUGAUACUGUUGGGCUUGAGUGCAGGAGGGGAGAGCGGAAUUCCUGGUGGAGCGGUGAAAUGCGUAGAUAUCAGGAGGAACGCCGGCGGCGAAAGCGGCUCUCUGGCCUGUUACUGACGCUGAGGCGCGAAAGCUAGGGGAGCAAACGGGAUUAGAAACCCGCGUAGUCC